GACGAACGCUGGCGGCGUGCUUAACACAUGCAGGUCGAACGGAAAGGCCCCUUUGGGGGUACUCGAGUGGCGAACGGGUGAGUAACGCGUGAGUAACCUGCCCUUGACUUCGGGAUAACUUCAGGAAACUGGGGCUAAUACCGGAUAGGAAUCCUUGCUGCAUGGUGGGGGUUGGAAAGCUUCGGCGGUUUUGGAUGGACUCGCGGCUUAUCAGCUUGUUGGUGGGGUAGUGGCUUACCAAGGCUUUGACGGGUAGCCGGCCUGAGAGGGCGACCGGCCACAUUGGGACUGAGAGACGGCCCAGACUCCUACGGGAGGCAGCAGUGGGGAAUAUUGCACAAUGGGCGGAAGCCUGAUGCAGCAACGCCGCGUGCGGGAUGACGGCCUUCGGGUUGUAAACCGCUUUCAGCAGGGGCGAAGCUUGUGGUGACGGUACCUGCAGAAGAAGCACCGGCUAACUACGUG
rnacentral:rRNA from 1 species